rnacentral:rRNA from 1 species
AACUUAAGCAUAUCAAUAAGCGGAGGAAAAGAAACUAACCAGGAUUCCCUUAGUAACUGCGAGUGAAGUGGGAAGAGCUCAAAUUUGUAAUCUGGUGGCCCUCGGCCGUCCGAGUUGUAAUCUAAAGAAGUGCUACCUGUGCUGGACCGUGUACAAGUCUUCUGGAAUGGAGCAUCAUAGAGGGUGAGAAUCCCGUCUUUGACAUGGACUGCCAGUGCUCCGUAGGUGCGCUCUCGAAGAGUCGAGUUGUUUGGGAAUGCAGCUCAAAAUGGGUGGUAAAUGCCAUCUAAAGCUAAAUAUUGGCGAGAGACCGAUAGCGAACAAGUACCGUGAGGGAAAGAUGAAAAGAACUUUGGAAAGAGAGUUAAACAGUACGUGAAAUUGCUGAAAGGGAAACGCUUGAAGUCAGUCGCGUCGGGUCGGAAAUCAACCUUGCUUCUGCUGGGUGCACUUUCCGUCUGACGGGUCAGCAUCGAUUUCGGCCGCUGGAUAAAGUCCUUUGGGAACGUGGCAUCCUCGGAUGUGUUAUAGCCCUUGGGACGUAUGCGGCGGCUGGGAUCGAGGAACUCAGCACGCCUCCUCUGGCUGGGCUUUGUCCACACGAACGUGCUUAGGAUGCUGGCGUAAUGGCUUUAAUCGACCCGUCUUGAAACACGGACCAAGGAGUCUAACAUGCCUGCGAGUGUUUGGGUGGAAAACUCAUGCGCRCAAUGAAAGUGACGGUUGAGAUCCCCGUCGUGGGGAGCAUCGACGCCCAGACCAGACCUUUUGCGACGGAUCUGCGGUGGAGCAUGCAUGUUGGGACCCGAAAGAUGGUGAACUAUGCCUGAAUAGGGUGAAGCCAGAGGAAACUCUGGUGGAGGCUUGUAGCGAUUCUGACGUGCAAAUCGAUCGUCAAAUUUGGGUAUAGGGGCGAAAGACUAAUCGAACCAUCUAGUAGCUGGUUCCUGCCGAAGUU